AUAAAACAAAACUAACCGACUCAU
rnacentral:siRNA from 1 species